rnacentral:rRNA from 1 species
UAGGGAAUCUUCGGCAAUGGACGAAAGUCUGACCGAGCAACGCCGCGUGAGUGAAGAAGGUUUUCGGAUCGUAAAACUCUGUUGUUAGAGAAGAACAAGGACGUUAGUAACUGAACGUCCCCUGACGGUAUCUAACCAGAAAGCCACGGCUAACUACGUGCCAGCAGCCGCGGUAAUACGUAGGUGGCAAGCGUUGUCCGGAUUUAUUGGGCGUAAAGCGAGCGCAGGCGGUUUCUUAAGUCUGAUGUGAAAGCCCCCGGCUCAACCGGGGAGGGUCAUUUGAAACUGGGAGUCUUGAGUGCAGAAGAGGAGAGUGGAAUUCCAUGUGUAGCGGUGAAAUGCGUAGAUAUAUGGAGGAACACCAGUGGCGAAGGCGGCUCUCUGGUCUGUAACUGACGCUGAGGCUCGAAAGCGUGGGGAGCAAACAGG